GUCUGACUGCCUCUCCCUAGGGACUUUAUCUAGGAGAUGGACCCCUUAAAAAAGGGAGAAACUCUGGCUUUUACUGUGAGAGUCUGGAUAAUGUCCAAAGGCACACAGCCUCUGGAAAUUUAAAAUAAAAGGCUCAACAGCGCUUUCCAAAGACAGGGAAAUGGCUCAAACUGCAGGAUUAGGUCGACGUCUUUCAUAAUUAUUUUCUAUUAAAAACUUUCCCGGAAAUGUGUUUGUGACACCAGCCGGGAGCCUCCUUUCUUCUAGGGAUGCUGGCCAGCUCUAGUAUUGUUAUUCUCCGCGAGGAUAUUUUCCUUCUGUGGCCUUUAGAAAAUAAUGGACGACUCGACUUUCUUGUUUUGACUAACGAAACCUCUCUUGGAGAGACUGGAGUACACAGAGCACACCAGCACCCAGGGCCAUUGCAGAAGAACCUCGAGGUCAGCAGAGGCCCUCGGAAGGGCGCCACAGUGGCUGAAGCUGGCGUCUUAGGGUUUAAAACCUGCACCCCGCCGGGUGUUGGGACCACGUGCUGCGCCUUCGAAAGGUGACGGCGGCCGGGCUGCAGUGCCCAGUGGCGGGAGAUGGCGCAGGGAACGCCGCAGCCCCCAGUGGCGACGGGGGCGGGUGCUGCGUGGCAGAACUGGCCUCAGCGCUGAGUGGAGAGAAUUAUCUGGAGCGUGCUUGAUCUGGGGCUGCGUAGUCAGCUUCUGCUUUAUUUGUUUGUUUGUAAUCUCAUAUUUAGCAAGCCAGGACGGUGGCAGCGAGGGAGAAAGGAAGGGAUGGAGGAGGGGGCUUCGCGCUAACCACACCCCUUCCUAAUGAGUUAAUUUCCAUAUUUGCGUCUCCCGCUUCUAGCGCCCUCUCUUUCCGGGCGCCUCCGUACAGCGGCGUCUUGCGCAGCUCAGACACUCUCCACUUAGGAAUGAAACAAAAAAGCCCCGGAUAGAACCUAGAAAUUAUAUUCUCUUCAAGAUCCAUGAAAGAGAACCUGACUGCUUGCUUUGGUCUGAGAGUUCAGACAUCUCUUCUCUUAAGAAAGUCUUCAUUUCCGUUUGCUGAGUCCUCCUGUUUUGUCAUCGCUGGGCCCUGUAAGAAGUUUGCCAGGAGGUCCCCAGAAGUAGAAGGACCAUGCUCUCUAUUCUAAGCUGGCCUUGAACUCAUGACGAAUCAGAGGAUGGCCUCAAUCUGGGAUGGACAUUUCCAGCAGAGAAAUGCUAUCUAGACCAAAGACAUUGUUUUACUAUACAGCCAACGGUUCUUUAAAUGCCCGGCAACCCUCUCUUCUCCGGUGCUUGAUGGUGUGUGUGUGAAGAAGUGUUCCUAAACACCGGCACAAAAGAGUGGGCAUACAUCAAGCAUACAAGAGGUGGAGGAGAGAGGGGGCCUUGCCGAUGCCUCAGAUGAGGUGGUGGAUGAGAAAAGCAGGGGUGGAUCAGAGUAGACACAGCACUCAAAGUCUGGUUCCAUUUCCCAGAAGUAAUCGUUCAGCUUCUACGUGGUUUGUCAUUGCCAAAGUCAAGACUCAAACCCAGGCCCUGACCACCAGAGACUGUCAGUUUUCAAGCUUAAAAAAAAGAAAAGAAAAGAAAUACUUAUUUUGAUUUUCAUUUAAUUUCAUAUUACGCCCAGGAACUAUUUUAAGGAAUUUUGAGUUAUAACCUGUGACCAAAAGUCAAGUAGCAGUUUUUCUAAUGCGUCUGCAUUUGCUAUGAAGAAUCAAAACCAUGAGAGUAUUUUCAUUGCCUGGCACUUUAUAACAAGGUCAGAUUUGGUAUUAACAUGAAAGAACAUUUGAUGGUUUUUAAAGCUUCAAUAUUUAUUUUGUUCUAAAAUAAAGUACUUUUCCCCCUCUCUAUAUUCUUUGUUAUGCAUAAAGUAUUUCUAGGGUU
rnacentral:lncRNA from 1 species